rnacentral:rRNA from 1 species
CCUUUCAUUGAAUUAUUUUGUGAUGCCUGAAUUCAUCUAAUCUCAGAAGCUAAGCAGGGUCAGGGCUGGUUAGUACUUAGAUGGGAGACCAUCUGGAAACACCAGGUGCUGUAGGCA